AGGGUUGUAGUUUAUAGGAACGGUUAACUUGCACUUAAACAGAACUAACGUCUACCCC
rnacentral:tRNA from 1 species